CAUUACAACCCACGUCUCACCUGAUAAGAGAAAGUAACUCCCCAGUUCUCCCUCGCUCACUCUUCUUCCAGUCUUUCUCUUCUUUCUUCGACUAUGUGUAUCAAAAUUAAACAAACCCAAUCGUUUCUUCGACUGUGUAUAUCAAAAUUAUACAAACCCGGUGGUUAAAUUUCUCUAUGCAGAGAAGGAAUCCUGCAAAUUUGUAAUCAAGAAAUCAACCGAUUUCUUCCUUUGCUACUUCUGCCAAGUUGGAAAGAAAUUUCGCUACAUGUUCCUUUGAUUUCCUGGUAUAAUUAUCCUUCAUAUUGAGUUUCUUGUAAAUCCAAUGUUUAUUUGGCACCAUGUACAGCAAAUUGUCUUCGGGAUUUUAAGGGUAACAAUUCUUAAUUGCAAUUUUGAGAGACGGGUGUUCAGUUUAUAGAGACGGGUAGGUGUCACCUCAAUGCAGGUGGCAGGAAUUGUUAACUUGCUUUUAAACUCCUUCCAUGUACCAAAGAUACCAAAGAAGGCUCUAGCUGCUCGAGGGUAAGAACUUUAUCUGAGGUUGGAAUAUAAGGUUGGACUUGGUUAAAUGUUAUAAUCAAAUACCAAGUUCAUUUCUUUUCCUUGGUCCCUUAUUUGGUAUAAUCUUUUUUACCUUUUCUCGUUUCAGGUUUGAAUGUUAGUUUGUGUAAAAUCAUAAUUUCAAAAUGUACAUAAAGGUUAUUAUUGUGGAUUAUCGUAGGGCAUUACUGGUUUCAACUUUCAAGAAUAUUUAGCCUUCUAUAAAAAGGGUUUGGUUUUGUCUGGUUUCGAUGUUUUAAGGCUGAGCACUUGGAAUUGUUGGCAAAUGUUUCUAUUUAUCAAGUAAGUUUAAACUAAUUUUAGAGAACAAAAGUUCCUGUUGAAUGGUAUCUGAUUUUUGCUCAGUUUUUCCAGUCUUAUUAUACUAGCUAAUUGGUUACAAGGCGGUACAUGUACUAAAUGCAAUGUUUUAUUAGUCUCUCUUCUGAUUGGUAUGAUACUUGUUUAGAUGAGCUCCCUGUUUGUUCAAAUACCUGUUGGAUAUUUUCUGUCUCACUAGCUAUUAAGGUACCACUCUCUCUCCCAUCUUUGCUUUCCCUGUAAUAGCAAACACACCAACAAAUAUUUUACAUACUAAAUACUAAAUCUAAGAGCUAAAUAACUCGAAAAUGAAUAUAUAGUUAGGUGUUUGAGUUGAUAGAUGAUGAGUUGUGAGUUAUUACCAAAUCUGCAAAUUACAAAUGAGGAAUUUAAAAAAUCAAAAUACUACCAAGAUCAUUUAGGAGGGGGAAAAGCGUCUCACCUAUCAGAAGAGAGAACAAUGACGCUCCAAAGGAUGGGAAGAGUAACUUGUUCAUGAAUAUGUGUCGUCUGUAAUGCAAACUUUCUUACCAUUAUCUGUCUAACAGAUCCAAGGUACUUUCUCUGUAUUCAAACUUUCAUAUGGCAGCAAUUUAUGAAAAAAGAUAAAUAUUACAGAAAUUUAUUUAUCUUUAAUUAGCAUCUUAUUAGAAAUCUCGUUUACUGUGUAUACCUGCAUGGAUGACGUAUUUGUUGUUGAACCUUCCUCCUAGAUAAACGCUAAAUCAAGAAAUCUCAUUGCACACAUGACGUAUUUGUUGUUGAAGAUAAAGGUAAAAAGAUAAAGGGUUUGGUUGCCUGCAGAUUGUCAAGCAUAAGAGUAAAAUGUGGUUUUCAGAUUUAAUUAGUAAUAAUUCUGAUAGUUACUCAUGAUGAUUCGAGUCCAGACGUCUGUAAUGCAGUUUUGAUCACAGCAUAUAUUGUCUAAGAUAGUUCCCGAACUUCUUUCACAUUGCCUCUAGCACUGAACUAUAUGGUACUAUCUGAUGUCUUUUCAGGUGGCUUGCUUUCUUGCUGAUGUUAUCUGUGCAUGCUAACAAGGCGAAGUGUAGUUGUCAUCCGCUUUUCACUCGUAUGCAACAUGAAGAUUUCAUGAUGCUGGGUCUGAUCCUCCAUUCAAUGUUAAAAGCAGAACACGAAGAUAUCUUAUAGGAAUCUCUUGAAGUUAUUGAGAAACCAGUUCAAUCUCGAUUUGUAUAUAUUCUCCCUUGAAAUUGUUUGUUCGAUUUCUAGAACCUCAUGUCAGUCAUGUUUUUUGCUUUGUCUCAAUAUCGUGAAUUGGCGACUAUAUAAUUUGGCUCAGUAGCUUAUUUGUAUUUGAUGUUCUUUAAUGAAUAAAUGAGAGCUUU